AUAAUACUUCCGUUCGUCGGCGCCUGACGAUGUGGGCACAUCAAACGUGCCCGUAUUCGACGGCUUAAUAGGGAACACGGCAAAACCGUGGCUGCCCCCGCAAUUGUACGCAGCGAGUUCGCACUCCACUGCCACUGGUUUCGACCGGGAAGGCCGGCGCGGAUGACGACCUGCCAGCCAAGAGACCUGCCGACUCAAUCGCCUUCGC
rnacentral:ncRNA from 2 species